rnacentral:rRNA from 1 species
UACGUAGGGUGCGAGCGUUAAUCGGAAUUACUGGGCGUAAAGCGUGCGUAGGCGGUUCGUUAAGUUCGUUGUGAAAGCCCCGGGCUCAACCUGGGAAUGGCAAUGGAAACUGGCGGGCUGGAGUAUGGCAGAGGGGGGUGGAAUUCCACGUGUAGUAGUGAAAUGCGUAGAGAUGUGGAGGAACACCGAUGGCGAAGGCAGCCCCCUGGGCUAACACUGACGCUCAGGCACGAAAGCGUGGGGAGCAAACAGG